rnacentral:rRNA from 1 species
UACGAGGGGGGCGAGCGUUGUUCGGAAUUAUUGGGCGUAAAGGGUGCGUAGGCGGUUUGGUAAGUCUUAUGUGAAAUCUACAGGCUCAACUUGUAGUCUGCAUGAGAAACUGCCGGGCUGGAGCACUGUAGAGGCGGGUGGAAUUCCGGGUGUAGCGGUGGAAUGCGUAGAUAUCGGAAGGAACACCAGUGGCGAAAGCGGCUUCCUGGUCCGACACCGACGUUCAGGCACGAAAGCGUGGGGAGCAAACAGG